rnacentral:rRNA from 1 species
UACGUGAGGGACCGAGCGUUGAUCCGGAAUCAUUGGGCGUAAAGAGCGUGUAGGCGGCCUUUUAAGUCCUGCGUGGAAAUCCUGCGGCUCAACCGCAGACGGUCGUGGGAAACUGGAAGGCUAGAGUGCGGGAGAGGAGAGUGGAAUUCCGGUGUAGCGGUGAAAUGCGCAGAUAUCAGGAGGAACACCGGUGGCGAAGGCGGGUCUCUGGGCAGUGAACUGACGCUGAGGAGCGAAAGCGUGGGGAGCAAACAGG